rnacentral:rRNA from 1 species
AUUAAACGCUGGCGGCAUGCCUUACACAUGCAAGUCGAACGGCAGCACGGGGGCAACCCUGGUGGCGAGUGGCGAACGGGUGAGUAACGCAUCGGAACGUGCCCUGGAGUGGGGGAUAACGUAGCGAAAGUUACGCUAAUACCGCAUAUUCUGUGAGCAGGAAAGAGGGGGAUCGCAAGACCUCUUGCUUUAGGAGCGGCCGAUGUCGGAUUAGCUAGUUGGUGAGGUAAAGGCUCACCAAGGCGACGAUCCGUAGCGGGUCUGAGAGGAUGAUCCGCCACACUGGGACUGAGACACGGCCCAGACUCCUACGGGAGGCAGCAGUGGGGAAUUUUGGACAAUGGGCGCAAGCCUGAUCCAGCCAUGCCGCGUGAGUGAAGAAGGCC